CAGCAGCCGCGGUAAUACAGAGGGUGCGAGCGUUAAUCGGAUUUACUGGGCGUAAAGCGUGCGUAGGCGGCUUCUUAAGUCGGAUGUGAAAUCCCUGAGCUUAACUUAGGAAUUGCAUUCGAUACUGGGAAGCUAGAGUAUGGGAGAGGAUGGUAGAAUUCCAGGUGUAGCGGUGAAAUGCGUAGAGAUCUGGAGGAAUACCGAUGGCGAAGGCAGCCAUCUGCCCUAAUACUGACGCUGAGGUACGAAAGCAUGGGGAGCAAACAGGAUUAGAUACCCCGGUAGUCCCUGUCUCUUAUAC
rnacentral:rRNA from 1 species